rnacentral:lncRNA from 1 species
CUGGAAGCUAACACCUGUUUUAUGUUUUAUUAUUGUUUUAUGUAGUGCUGGACACUAUUUCUACAUGUGAAGAAAAUCAGGCUACCCUGAACAUCUUAAUAUGCAGAGAAUGCUACCAAUAAAUAAAAAAAUGGAAGUAUUACUAGUCAUAUUUCAAAAUAGGCAAAUGAGAUGUACAGCAAUCAAAGAUAUGUUAAUAUAGUGCAUUAUAAUGUACAACAAAAAUCCUAGAUUAGUUGCAAAUGAGAUGGCUUGCCCAGAAAGUACCACACAGCACAGAUCCCCAAAGAGAUAGAAACUUGCUUUAAAAAUGGUACUGCUAUAUCACAAUAUUGUACCUAAGGCAGGACGAGUGUAGACAUACCAUGUGUGACAAACUCAGUGCCACACAGAAAAAUUAUUCCAGAGACAGUUACACAUCAGCCAGAAACAAGUUGGAAGGCAGGCUAACCUGCUUCACGAUGUUUCCCAAGGAAAGAAGAGAUGGAGUAAUCUUACAGAAUUAAAGACAGUUCUGAAAAGAAAAGCUGCCCUGUUUUUCUUUGUGGGUACCACCUUAUAUGUCCAGUGUCAGCACUGUGAGUUCAAAAAAGAGACGAAAGAGGACCUUGAUCCUGAAUGUCUAUGCCAUUCUAGUCUCAGUGAGAGCUCUUCACAGAAUUAAAUUUAUGAUGCGAUAGGGAAUGCAUUGUUACCUUAGAACAUUCACUGCAGAUCUACUCUAGCAGGUGAUACUCAAUUUACCUUAGAUCAAACAAAGUCUCAAGCAGCACUUAUAGCAAGAAAUACAUUGCAAUGCUCAAGGUUGUAUUGCUAGAGUUCUUCCCCUACACUGCUAAAUGUUACAGGACUGGAGGAGAGGAGGAACUAGAGAACAAAGCGUGAUAUUCUGGCCCUGGAUGUUCUGGGCAAACCCUGCUCUGCUCACAGCUCACUGCAAAGUGAACUGCUGCAGUUCCUACGAAGUAUAUUUAAUUUGGUCGUGCAGCCCACUGACCUUGCUACCACUGAGAAAAACAACAGUGCUGUCAGUCAUGCUGCAAGCAACUAGAGCAGCUAACACAUUCCCAGUGCCUCAACACAUCCCAGUAUGGGCACAAAUACAUGUGCCCACACACACUUCAGCAUUGCUUAAACCAAUACCAUUAAAAGUUCAUGAGUCAGUAUGUAGUAAAUGUGAGUAUAUAAAUAUAUUUAUACACACACAGAUGCAAACACAUAAAAAUUUUUGAAGUUACUGUGCUACUGUAAAUAUAGAAAUACAUAUUCAUUCUCUCUUCAGACUAUUUCCCUCCAAAAUGCUUUCAAAGAACAAAAAUCUGUAAAAGUACCGUUUAUUUUUACUGCCAUUUUCCUCCUGCCAGUCAUAUUGUCUUAGUUUCAGCCCAUUCUGUUUAGUAUCUAGACUCAAAUAAAAACAGGUGAUAAUUAUUAGUCA